GUCUACGGCCAUCCCACCCUGAAUAAAGCCAAUCCCGUCUGAUCUCGGAAGCUAAGCAGGGUCGGGCCUGGUUAGUACUUGGAUGGGAGACCACCUAGGAAGACCAGGUGCUGUAGGCA
rnacentral:rRNA from 1 species